rnacentral:rRNA from 1 species
GACGAACGCUGGCGGCGUGCUUAACACAUGCAAGUCGAACGAUGAACCCGGAGCUUGCUCCGGCGGAUUAGUGGCGAACGGGUGAGUAACACGUGAGUAACCUGCCCUUGACUCUGGGAUAACUGCUAGAAAUGGUAGCUAAUACCGGAUACGACCCUCGGUGGCAUCACCAGGGGGUGGAAAGAAUUUCGGUCAGGGAUGGACUGGCGGCCUAUCAGCUAGUUGGUGAGGUAACGGCUCACCAAGGCGACGACGGGUAGCCGGCCUGGGAGGGUGACCGGCCACACUGGGACUGAGACACGGCCCAGACUCCUACGGGAGGCAGCAGUGGGGAAUAUUGCACAAUGGGCGCAAGCCUGAUGCAGCAACGCCGCGUGAGGGAUGACGGCCUUCGGGUUGUAAACCUCUUUUAGUAGGGAAGAAGCGAAAGUGACGGUACCUGCAGAAAAAGCACCGGCUAACUACGUGCCAGCCGCCGCCGUAA